GGAAAGGAUUUGCUGGGAUAAUUAAUAACUAGGAUACAAAGGAAGGGAGGAGGAGGAGGUCUAAGAAAGAAGGUAAUGACAGUUAAGGGUCUGAAAAUAAUGAACUUGUUUUUAAAUGUCUUUUUUUUUAAAAAACAACCUUGGGAUUUUUGUAAUUUUGUCACUUUUUUGUUCUUUAUUUGAAAUUUUCUUUUUUCUUUAUCCUGUUCAUUAUCUUUUACUUUUUGUAUUUUUUCUUUUUUUUUGUCAUUACUCUCUUCUUUUUGUAAUAUUUUGAAAACUUCAAUAAAUAUCU